rnacentral:lncRNA from 10 species
UGACAGCAAGAAAAGAAAGAAAGAAACAGUUCAUUUUUUCUGAUGGUGAUUGUGUUGAUUUAAAUCCAGAAUUUGGAAUCUUCUUAACGAUGAACCCUGGAUAUGCUGGGCGCCAGGAACUACCAGAAAACCUAAAAAUCCAGUUUAGAACUGUUGCUAUGAUGGUUCCUGAUAGACAGGUUCAUUAUGACUUUGGAUUGAGAAAUAUUCUGUCUGUAUUGAGGACUCUUGGAUCUCAAAAAAGAGCCAGACCAGAAGAUAGUGAAUUAAGCAUUGUCAUGAGAGGACUAAGAGAUAUGAACCUUUCCAAACUGGUUGAUGAAGAUGAACCCCUGUUCCUCAGCUUAAUCAAUGACCUGUUCCCAGGACUGCAACUGGAUAGUAAUACUUAUGCAGAACUGCAA